UCCGGUUUGUCACCGGCAGUCCCAUUAGAGUGCCCAACUAAAUGUAGCAACUAAUGGCAAGGGUUGCGCUCGUUGCGGGACUUAACCCAACAUCUCACGACACGAGCUGUCGACAGCCACGCAGCACCUGUGUUCCGGUUCUCUUUCGAGCACCAAGCCAUCUCUGGCAAGUUCCGGACAUGUCAAGGGUAGGUAAGGUUUUUCGCGUUGCAUCGAAUUAAUCCACAUCAUCCACCGCUUGUGCGGGCCCCCGUCAAUUCCUUUGAGUUUUAACCUUGCGGCCGUACUCCCCAGGCGGUCAACUUCACGCGUUAGCUACGGUACUGAGGAAUCGCUUCCCCAACACCCAGUUGACAUCGUUUAGGGCGUGGACUAC
rnacentral:misc_RNA from 1 species